AUAUAUCAACUUCUUCAGCUUUUGUGCUUGUUGAGUGUUGGAUGUGGGGGUUUUUUUGCUGGCCUUUUCUGAAGGUCCAGCUCCCCUAAAAUGCAUUAGCGGAACAAUUUGUUGACUGUUCAUUGGUGUGAUAAUUAUCUGCGCUAUUGAACUGUGAGGCAAGUUCAGCUUCUAAUGGUCCAUUGACUUGGACAAUUUUAUUUAUUUA
rnacentral:misc_RNA from 1 species